UUUUUUACUGUCCCUCAUUCUUUUGUAAAUUUCUGCCCCUUCCUCACUCCACAGACUGCACCUUUAGGUGCAGCACCCUGGUACAUCUUAAGGCACUUGGCGAUCAAGUGGGCACACUUCUCCCGCUGAUUCCCAUCCUGACCCCUAGUCCAGGAUCUACCAGACUCCUAGACAUGUAGAAAGUUCCUCUGUUUUAUUUCUUCUUUACUGUCCCCCAUUCUUAUGUAAAUUUCUGCCCCUUCCUCUCUCCAUAGACUAUGCCUUUGGCUGCAGCAGCCUGGCAUAUCUUAAGCCACUUGGUGAGUAAGGGGUCACACUGCCCUCACUGAUUCCUAUCCAGACCCCCACUCCAUGAUCCACCCUGACACCUAGGCAGGUAGAAACAUCCUCCAAUUUUUUUGUGUGUUCUUCUUUACUGUUCCCCAUCCUUUUGUAAAUUUCUGCCCCUUAUUCUACCCACAGACUGUCUUUGGCAGCAGCAGCCUAGUACAUCUCAAGGCACCUGGUGAGCAAGGGCUCACACUACCCCCACUGAUUCCCAUCCAGAAGCCCUGUCCAAGAGUCACUCAGACCCCUAUGCAGAAUGUGCCUUUGGCUGCAGCAGCCUGGUACAUCUGAAGGCACCUUGUGAACAGGAGGGCACAGUGCCCCCACUGAUUCUCAUCUAGACCUCCAGUCCAGGAUCCACACAGACCCCUACGCAGACUGUGCCUUUGGCUGCAGCAGACUGGUACAUCUGAAGGCACUUGGCGAUCAAGUGGGCACAAUUCCCCCACUGAUUCCUAUCCAUACCCCCAGACCAGGAUCUACCCAGACUCCUAAUCAGACUGCGCCUUUGGCUGCAGCAGCCUGGUACAUCUGAAAGCAUCUGGCGAGCAAGGGGUCACACUGCUCCUACUGAUUCCCAUCCAGACCUUCAGUCCAGGAUCCACCCUGACACCUAGGCAGACUACGCCUUUGUCUGCAGCAGCCUGGUAAAUCUGAAGGCACCUGGCAUGCAAGGGGGAACACUGCCCCCACUGAUUCCCAUCCAGAACCCCUGCUCGGGAUUCACAGAGACCCCUAGGCAGAAUGUGCCUUUGGCUGUACUAGCCAGCAGCAGCCUGGUACAUCUGAAGGCUCCUGACUGUGCCUUUGGCUGCAGCAGACUAGUACAUCUGAAGGCACUUGGUUUGCAAGGGGUCACAUUGAACCCACUGAUUCCUGUCCAGAACCCCAGUUCAUGAUCCACCCAGACCCCUAUGCAGACUGUGCCUUUGGCUGCAGCAGCAUGGUACCUCUGAAGGCACUUAUCAAGCAAGGGGGUGCACUGCCUGCACUUAAUCCCAUCCAGAUCCCCAGGUCCAGGAUCCAUCCAGACCCUAUGCAGUCUGUGCCUUUGCCUGCAGCAUCCUGGUACAUCUGAAGGCACCUGAUGAGCAAGGGGACACACUGCCCCCACUGAUUCCCAUCCAGACCCCCCAGUUCAGGAUCCACCCGGACCCAUAGGCAGAAUGUGUCUUUGGCUGUUGCAGCCUGGUACAUCUCAAGGCACCUGAUGAGCAAGGGUGCACAUUGCCCCCAGUGAUUCCCAACCCAUCCCCCCAGUCAAGGAUCCAGGGAAACCACCAGGCAGCAGUAUGCAGUCUGUGCCUUUGCUUGCAGCAGUAUGGUACAUCUGAAGGCACCUGGUGAGCAAGGGGGCACACUGCCCACACAGAUUCCCAUCCCGACCCCCAGUCCAGUAUCCAUACAGAAAUCAAGACUACACCUUUGUCUACAGCAGCCUGGUACAUCUUAAGGCACUUGGCGAGCAAGUGGGCACACUGCCCCACUGAUUCCCACCAAGACCCCCUUCCAGGAUCUACCUAGACUCCCAGGCAGACUGAACCUUUGGCAGCAGCAGCCUGGUACAUCUGAAGGCACCUGGUGAGCAAGGGGGCACAUUGCCCCCACUGAUUCUCAUCCAGACCCCCAGUCCAGGUAGAAUAUGGAGUUAGCAUAUGUAGGCUAAACUAGUUUAACUUAAACACCCUUUGCUAGGACUGCAGGCCCAGUUAGCUUAUGUUAGGCCUAGUUAGCUUAUUCAUCCUAUUUACUGGCCAAGACAGAAAUUCAAGGAUGGGGCACAGGGGUUUGCUAAUUAACAGGAAUUCAUUAACAGAGGAAGGGCAGGUCUGGCUGGUGGCGACAGGAUGAACAAACCUGAAGGCACCAGGGAAGAUUACCUAAAUUUCUGAGAGUUCUUUUUAUCUAAAUUCAGGCGGGCAAUGACAGAUAGUUCCUAACUACAAAUGGUUCCUACUUUGUGUGUUGUAAACUAUAAAAACCUACCUGCUAAUAAAAUAUCCUGUAUUGCCUCCUGAGCUAUAAAAAGCCCCUCAUUCCUAGGUUUGGGGUCCUUGUUAUAACCCAUUGCAUCAGGCAUUAACCUGGACCCCA